rnacentral:lncRNA from 1 species
GGGAUAUAUAUAUGAGGAGAGAAAAAGGGGGAGAUAAAAUAAUAGUAGAUUAAAAUACAUAAUAUAAUUAUAAUACAUCUAAAAAAUAUAUUAUAAAAAGGGAGUAAUUUCAAAAUCCACAUUCAAACCAUCAGGAGUCAGGGUAUUGAGGUUGAACAUCCACCUCAUUUCUGCUUUGCUUAAAAUAUUAUCUUUACAACCCCCUCUCCAAUGGACUUUAAUUUUUUCUAUGCCUAUGAAUUGAAGUCCCUCUGGGUUACCAUUAUGGUGGUCUAAAAAGUGCUUUGAAACGCUAUGAUUAAUAAAUUUUUUCUUUAUAUUAUUAAUAUGUUCUCCUAUUCUGACUUUCAGUUUUCUUAUCGUUUUACCCACAUAAUGAUAACCGCAUGGACAAGUUAAGAGGUAUAUAACAUUGGUUGUAUUGCAC